CGCAGUUUUGAUGAUGUUACUUCUUUUAUCUUAAGAAGACAUCAGAUAAAUCUGUGCU
rfam:Poecilia formosa, whole genome shotgun sequence.